GAUCAACGCUGGCGGCGUGCCUCAGACAUGCAAGUCGAACGAGAAAGUUCCCUUCGGGGAAUGAGUAAAGUGGCGCACGGGUGAGUAACACGUAGGUAAUCUACCUUCGGGUGGGGAAUAACCCAGGGAAACUUGGGCUAACACCGCAUAAUGCAGCGGCACCACAUGGUGACAGUUGUUAAAGCGGGGGAUUUUAGGACCUCGCGCCUGAAGAGGAGCCUGCGGCGGAUUAGCNGUUGGUAAGGUAACGGCUUACCAAGGCGACGAUCCGUAGCCGGCCUGAGAGGGCGGUCGGCCACACUGACACUGACAUACGGGUCAGACUCCUACGGGAGGCAGCAGUCGGGAAUUUUGGGCAAUGGGCGAAAGCCUGACCCAGCAACGCCGCGUGAAGGAUGAAAUCCCUCGGGAUGU
rnacentral:rRNA from 1 species